AUACGAAGGGUGCGAGCGUUAAUCGGAAUUACUGGGCGUAAAGCGCGCGUAGGCGGUUGGAUAAGUCGGAUGUGAAAGCCCCGGGCUCAACCUGGGAAUUGCAUUCGAAACUGUCCGGCUAGAGUAUGGUAGAGGGAAGCGGAAUUCCACAUGUAGCGGUGAAAUGCGUAGAUAUGUGGAGGAACACCAGUGGCGAAGGCGGCUUCCUGGACCAAUACUGACGCUGAGGUGCGAAAGCGUGGGGAGCAAACAGGAUUAGAAACCCUUGUAGUCC
rnacentral:rRNA from 1 species